rnacentral:tRNA from 1 species
GGAAAGGUGCCAGAGUGGUUGAAUGGGCCUGUCUCGAAAACAGGUGUAGGGUCUUGCCCUACCGUGGGUUCGAAUCCCACCCUUUCCG